UACAGAGGUCUCAAGCGUUUGUUCGGAUUCAUUGGGCGUAAAGGGUGUGUAGGUGGCGCCGUAAGUCGGGUGUGAAAUUUCGGAGCUUAACUCCGAAACUGCAUUCGAUACUGCGGUGCUUGAGGACUGGAGAGGAGACUGGAAUUCAUGGUGUAGCAGUGAAAUGCGUAGAUAUCGUAAGGAAGACCAGUGGCGAAGGCGGGUCUCUGGACAGUUCCUGACGCUGAGGCACGAAGGUCAGGGGAGCAAACGGG
rnacentral:rRNA from 1 species